rnacentral:rRNA from 1 species
AACGAACGCUGGCGGCAGGCCUAACACAUGCAAGUCGAACGCUCCGCAAGGGGAGUGGCGCACGGGUGAGUAACACGUGGGAACCUACCUUCUGGUACGAACAACCAAGGGAACUUUGGCUAAGACCGUAUACGACCUCCGGGUGAAAGAUUGAUCGCCGGAAGAGGGGCCCGCGUCCGAUUAGGUAGUUGGUGAGGUAACGGCUCACCAAGCC